rnacentral:rRNA from 1 species
UUUAUGGAGAGUUUGAUCCUGGCUCAGGAUGAACGCUGGCGGCGUGCCUAAUACAUGCAAGUCGAGCGAACGGACGAGAAGCUUGCUUCUCUGAUGUUAGCGGCGGACGGGUGAGUAACACGUGGAUAACCUACCUAUAAGACUGGGAUAACUUCGGGAAACCGGAGCUAAUACCGGAUAAUAUUUUGAACCGCAUGGUUCAAAAGUGAAAGACGGUCUUGCUGUCACUUAUAGAUGGAUCCGCGCUGCAUUAGCUAGUUGGUAAGGUAACGGCUUACCAAGGCAACGAUGCAUAGCCGACC